rnacentral:lncRNA from 1 species
GCUCAAGCCAUCUUCCCACCUCAGUCUCAGCCUCCCGAGUAGCUGGCACCAACUACCUGCUAAUAGCCAUACUACAAACACCCAGCUAAUUUUUUAUGUUUUUACUUUUUGGAGAUGGGGUCUCAUUAUGUUGCCCAGGCUGGUCUCAAACUCCUGGCCUUAAGCGAUUUUCCCACCUCAGCCUCCUAAAUAGCUGGAAUUACAGGAUGAACCACCGUAUUAAGAGGCUCGCCUCUUAAUAUGGUUACAAUAGCAAUUAUGCCUCCAACACAUGCUUUUGGGAGGGACACAUUCAAACCAUAGCAAAUACCUUCUGAAAAGUUGACCUGAACAUUUACAUAAGCUGUCACCCGGGAACUUAUCUUCUAAUGCAGGUGUAAAUGACUAUUAGAGAUACUUUGCUGAAAACUUGGUGAAGAAGCAGAGAGCAUGAGGAUGUUAAGCCCCUUUAGAGAGUAGAGAAGGUGUGGCACGGGAAGGGAGAGCUAGCUAGGAUACUGAGGAAAGGCUGAGUCUUCUUCACACAGCUUGGUGAAGGUUUCCUCGGCACCCAGAUCCCAGCCUCUUUCUUGCAAUGGAUCAAGAUGACUUGGUGACAUUCUCUGCCACCCUAACUUCCAUCUGAUCAUAUUUUCCCCGCCUACACCAUGUUUUAAGCUUAAGGAAUAGUUUUAAGUGGAUUCCUGCCCGCUCCCUCCAGCUUUCUCAUUCUAGGGCCCCCCCUGGCUUUUUUUUUUUCCUGGGGUGGGGGAGGCGGUUGAGACCUGCUUAAUUUAUUCCAAUGACACAACCGUGAUCCCAAAGUGUGCAAAGUUAAAGCCUUCAAUUGCAGCUGAGCAGAGGGCAGGAAUGGUACACCUGGGGAUGGUGGUGAGUCAGGAAUGACAGGCAGGCGGCCAUGACCAGGGCAGCCUCCUCCCCACAUGGCCAGGGACAGGGGAGUGGCCUGAGGAGCAGGACCCAAGGGUAGCCCCGGGCUGGGGAAGGGGGCAGAGACCUCCCCUUGGCCUAGGGCCACUUUGAUGGCCCUGUUCCGUGUGGCAUGGGUGGGGGGGGCGAUUCAUCCGCUACUGUAUGUGAAGAAGCUGGGAAGGUGGGCUUGGUGAAGGAGUAGUAAGUGUCACCUGGGCUGGGAGCUAAAGAGUAGAUAUUUUCUGAUUUGAGAAGACAUCUGAAUGAGACCAGAUGGAAAAGGCAUCCAUCUCUUGAUUUGUACAGGUGAAUUACCCACACUGCGGCUUCACUGGGGGCAAAUUAUCCACAUUCAUGUUGAGAGCAUCCUCCCUUCUGUUUGUCCUAUACUUUCAAGAACUCAGAAGAACCCACACAAUCUCAAACAGUUCAUGGAGUAAAAGGCAGUCAGUUCUAAGGGAAGCUGGCGCACCCAUCGGGCUGUCCUUGGCAUGGGUAGUAACAUUAAGCAGGCUGAUGGGAAGGAAGGUGGGGACCCCUUAAAUUCUCCUAUAUUAACCCUCCAAAGGAGGUUCUUCAUUCCAGCCUUUUGAGAGCCUGAGUCUGGGAUCACUCAGGUUUAUCCCGGGUCAGUCCUUCCAACACCUCUUCAUCUCAAGUAGCUUGGAUUAGCCACUUCAACACCCCACUGAGUUGGCUUCAAGCAAUAAUCUGGACAAUGAAGAGAGGAUCAGGGCCACUCCACAGCCUAGAAAGUGUGGUUUCUGGGCCCUACCCAGCUUCAGGGCCUAAAAGCCACUCUUAGCUCUUCCCAAGAUAUCUCCAGAAUCAGAAUGAGAGAGCUGCAUGGAAGCGACCCCAGGCCCUGUGCGGUGUGGUCAGAGUCCAAGGCCAGGGCGCUUGCCCCAGUCACAUAAAUGGUUAGCAAAAGCCAGGGUGCGGCCCUAGUCCCACCCUCCCCCAGCCCCGAGGGGUCCUUCCAGAACUGCCACCUGAACAGGUGGCUGCUCCGGUGCUGAACCCCUGCCGAGCUGCGGGUGACCUUGGACAUCCACCAAAGUCCCUGCGGCGGGGGGCGGGGUCCGCCCGAGCUCUAGCUCGGUAUAGGGGGCUGCCGCAGCCUGAUCACGUCUCCGCCUCCCUGACUGGGCUGGCUCGUCGCCUGCUGCUCCCUGGCAGCUGUCUGCCGCUGCCGGGAAGGUGAUUGCCAUGUUUGCAGCUCCUUUCCUUGUUUGGAAAGAUCUGGAGGCAGGUGUUCCAGCCAAUGAACCUAAGAAAGGUGGAAGGAAAAGAGACAGGGUCUCACUCU